rnacentral:rRNA from 1 species
GAUGAACGCUAGCUACAGGCCUAACACAUGCAAGUCGAGGGGCAGCGGGAGCUAAGCUUGCCUAGUUUGCCGGCGACCGGCGCACGGGUGCGUAACGCGUAUCGAACCUGCCUCAUACUGGGGGAUAGCCUUGCGAAAGCAAGAUUAAUACCCCAUGGUUCCGGUCCUUCGCAUGGAGGUCCGUAUAAAGAUUUAUCGGUAUGAGAUGGCGAUGCGUCCCAUUAGUUAGUUGGCGGGGUAACGGCCCACCAAGGCGACGAUCAGUAGCCGACCUGAGAGGGUGAUCGGCCACAUUGGAACUGAGAAACGGUCCAA